rnacentral:miRNA from 1 species
UCAGCCGUCUUGCAGCCUCCU